UUUAAUUUGCGCAUUCUAUUCAAUAGCUCAAAAACGCGAGCGUCGAGAAUCUCGAUGUCGUCGGGAAUGCCAUGUACAAAAUGCCUUGUGAUUGACAUAUUCCGUGUUGUGUGUUAUAAACGAGUAACAACGAAACAGUAACGAGGAACCAGAGAAGAGGAAAAGACGAAGGAAAAGUAGGAAGAGAAGGUCCCGUGAUGGCAUCCUAUUGGUGAGUGUUAAAUUAUCAUAAAAAUAACAAAACUGAGUAGCGUGGAAAUAUUCGCUAUUUUUUUCUUUUUUAAAUGCGUUAAAAGAGAGCUUAUUGCCUUUCAUGCUUUGCGCCCCUUCAAAAAUUUAUUUUUUUUUUAAUAAAGAGGUAGCUACUUCUUUCUGGGCUUAUUUUGAAAAUAGAGAACGGGACUCUACACAAAAAAAUCACUCUUUUGAGUUCCAUCCCUUGAUCUGUAUAUCUCGUCAAAUAUUCAUAAUAUGAUGGAGAAGUAAAAAGUAUACGUGCAUACAUUUUCCAUAAAAAUUAGCGAGUUCUCUUUGCGUUUAAUUUAAAGGUCAAUAUAAGAGCUAUUAAAAAAAAAUUGCUUCUUGAUUUAAAAAUAAUGGAUUUUGAAAUUUUAACAAUAGAUUUUUUCAAAAUUCGUGACCCUAAAAAUUUUUCAUAAGACAUGAAUUGGAUGGCAAAUUAUUUCAAGAAAAUAAAUCAGCACGAAAGAAUUAAGUUAGAUUUCAGACAUAGAUCUGAGAGAUACGGAAUUUACAAACAUAACUUAGCAGUGCUUGGAAGCGUUGGAAUUAUCGACCUUUAUCUUUCGCGUUUGCGAGAGGAAUCUCUGGUACGCCGACUACGCAUAGUUGGCUCGAGUUUGCAGCUCGCUCGCUCAUAGCAAGCGAGCAUCGUAUCGUAUUUUGGAGCGCGAGUAAGUAUCCACGCGCGUAAACAGGUUCUACUGAACCAACGAGACGAAAUCGUUACUUCGUGAUCGGAAGUAUUCGGAAGUAUCGACAAACGCAUCAAUUUCCGCCUCAACUUGCACCGCAUCGCUCGCGCACUUUUCUCCAAAUCAGUCGGGACGUAGGUACGAAACUUUGUGCAAUCCCGCUAGCGUCUGGCAACCGUAGGAAGGAAAUUUAAGAGUAGCAGCAGAGGGGCCUUGCUCGGCUUGGAUUUACUCAAAUAAUGCAUGAUUAUAAUGGCGAAUUCAACCAAGCCGUAGUUAAGCACGUACGAUCUAUCGUAACAUAAAGUCCUUACUAUGUAACUUUAAUCGCGUUUAAAAUUGAUCAUUGAUAAGCCCGAGCUCGGUCGGCGUGACAGUUUAACUUAAUCCGCGUUCUUGAAGCGAAAAUCACGUGGGAAAGUACAUUUUUGUUUAUGGGCAAUGAAUCGCACGACAUUUUACGGACUGCUUGUUAAUACGGAUAAUUGUUUCGUUCGCACGAUAAACGGUGGGAAAAGUCGCGGUCGAUGGGUUUACGGCUGACCCGGCAAUUUCCGACGGCUAAAACUUCAAGCGCCGACGAGACUGCAAAGUUUUGUUAUUUAUAGGCCACAACCUGAGUUCUCUUCUGGGGUGCGUUCACCGCGCGAUCGCAGCCAGAUUCCAGCGUUUAUUAUGUUACGCGACGCGUGGUACUAUGUUAUGCGAAGAAAUUCGCUCAACUGAAUUUACUCACGCAUGUGGGCCGCGUAUCGAUGCUGACAAAAUUAAAUUUUUGGACGCCAUUCUAAACGUGACAUCCGAUACUUUGGAUUGAAUUUAACAGGACAGUUAGGAUAUUAUCGCCGCGUGGAUUUCGCCUGUACUCUCGCGUUAAUAUUUCGCGAGUUUUCUUCUAACAUUUUUUGUACCAUAUAAAAACUCUUUUGUUGUGUGCAGAGAGUAUUAUGUUUGCACUUUAUAUUACAACGUAAGUUUAAUUCUAUUACAACUGUAUCAUAGAAAAGAAUGAUUUUUACAUGGAAAAAUCUCUUGUUGAAACAUUUGACCCUUUUUAGAAUUCUUGUUAUCGAUGUAUCAUAGUUUAUUUAAAAGCACAAAUUUUGGCAGUGACGUAUCUGCUUCAUUGGAAGAGCUUUUUCUAGAUAGAUGACGACAACGUGUAUAAAUAUAAACUAGUGACGGAAUAUGCGCGACAUUUUUGCUAAUCCUGCACAUAUAUACUAGCAUAUUUUGAUUCAUGAAUUAUUACUGAAACAAUUGUACAUUAGAAUAUUAAUUUUUACAUAUUACUCUUAAAAUCAUAAGUUUCAUUAUGUAUUUAUAAUCGAUUAGUCAGAUUAUUGAUAUAAACUCAGAUAACAUGUUUAAAAGAUGUCGUAAUAUAAUUUUAAGAUGAUUUUUAAACACAUUUGAAAAAGAUAUCUUUAUGUUUGUUUUUUGAGGACAGGAUAAGUUAUGCACGCAAUACUAACAUUAUGUGAAUUCGGAAAAGAAAUAAAACAACAUAGUGGCAAUUGUUGAAUGGCACGAUCGUAAAUUUAUAAAAUAUUAUGCCGGCCUCAAGGCAAGUUAGGGAGUGCUGUAGUCGUUUAUGACACCCAUAGAGGAUGCGACAUUGAACUUAACUCGUUAAUUGCUUCCGGUGAUUGAAAUGAACGCAAAUACAUUGUGUCGUACAAAACAGUUAAUGUAUUAAUAGAGUCCAAAAUGUCAUUUACUCA